CCAUUACCAUACAAUCACACACUUGCACGAACCAUAUUUGGAUCAAUUAACACUGCAGAAAUUGCUUUUGAGGAAUGAUUUUGCAUUAGGUGUUGCUAUGUGGGAGAAUUAUUCAGAAGAGUUAAAAGAAACAGUUGUUGAUAUUUUUGCCAUACUGGUUGUCCAAUGAAUCCAUUUUCGCCGUUGAUUCCUCUGAGCUACAGAGAGCUGAACCAAUCUAAUUCUCCAAUGGUGAUUUGGAUCUGCCUCAUGCUUCAGCGAUAUAGCUGGAGGGGAGCUGGAGGGACUUGAACCCUUGCCCAUCAGAAAAGAACUCGAGGCUAUCUUGAUUUGGCUGGAAGAAUCCUCUCCAUGCUCUGGAACCACCACCACCUGUGAAGUAUUGGAUUGGACUGGAAGCAACAGAAGCGUGUACGCUAUGUAGGUAAGACCACUUCACGUGAUUUGUUAAUAUUGGCAUUCAUGUUGAAUUCUAAAUUACUAUAAAAAUUGACUUUGGUAUAAAUGGAUGUUAACCUGUCUCUGGUGCUUAUGUGUUCCAGGCAGUGGUCAUACUCAUUGAUGUAGAAGUCAAUGCCGUUAAUCUGGAAUGUUGCAAAAUUAUUAAGAAACAAUCCUUUUCUAUAUACAACAAUAUGAUUGAUAUGAAAGCUUCCACAGGUAUUCUAUGGGCUACCUGGUUCUGCAGUACAUGUCUUGGUGGAAAAGUGGCCAGAGCGUUGAGAUUUGUAAGGUGAGUAUACUACUUUGUAAGGUGAGUACAUGUCUGGGUAUGUAAUUAUGAAACAUUUCCACAAAUAAUUUUUAGUAUCUUCUUCUAAAGUAAUAAUUUUAUAGUAUGAUAUAAAUAAGAAUAAUAUCUCCUUUCAUGUAGGCAUUCAAGUGAUUAUCUCAUUCUAAAGUACAUGGCUACAUUUAAUAAUAACCAGGCCCUAUGGUUAGUAUAUACCUAUGGUUAAAAGCCAUGUGUUGUAUUUAUUUUAGAUUUAAUGUAAUUACCGACUAUGUUACAUGAGCCAAUAUUUAACAUUUAAGUAUAUAUAAAUGACUUUUGGACAGGAUCGAAGAGCAAUGCGACUGAAUUUCUUAGUUGAUAUGCUGGCACACGAGGCAAAUUCAUACCGGAAACUACUUCCUGACGUCAGACACUAUCUUAGGUGCAUCACAGGGAAAGAUAUAAAAUAGAUUGCGUUAGUCAUGGAUCCCUGGCUAUCUUUUUUGGGUUAAUAAUUAUCUUCUUUUGUGAUACAAAUGGAUGAACUAUUUGUGGUAUACCUUAAUACUCACUUUAUAUAUAAUGUGGUUUCAUAAUAUUCAAUA